rfam:Schistosoma haematobium scaffold294_15, whole genome shotgun sequence.
AACCUUCUGUAUCCGUGCUGAGAUUUCGUCAGACGUCAGACAACAAGGGUUGAUGAGACUCUUAAAAUAAAUGAAGCG